rnacentral:lncRNA from 1 species
ACAUUUUGUGUUUAACGUAAACCUUCCUGUCCCAACUACAUUGAAACAGUAAUGAUGCGACAAGUUCUUUGUAGAAAUACAGUACAACAUUGCUCUUGGUCUGCAGUAUGUAAAGCUAACGGUUUAAAGAGGAAAUCCUAAAGAGAAUAAAAGAGGUUGCAGUAUAAUGAGUCGUUGUGUAGAAGUUCUGGAGCCUACUCAAUAGACUUGAGAAGCUUAUUUAAGAACCUACUGGGUUGGUGACAUUUACAAGACAGAGUCUUGAGGAUUUUCCAGAACGGGAAAGAUUUUGAAAGAACAAAGAGGAACUACAGAAUCAUUGCUUACAUUGACACCGGCCCUGUUGUCCCAAUGGAUGGGUUUUUUUUGGAUGAACGUCAAAAUUGACCCUGCUGUUAAAGCUUGAAACUUGGAUCUGUUGUAUCUGAGUUCUCUCCUCAAAAAAAGACCUUCAGGAAGUAUCAGAUAACUGAAACAUACCAGAUCACAGCACCACAUGCCUCCUGCCCCUCCCUAAUUUCUGUUCUCUUAUACAUUGUUAAAUUUUUUUCCUGCCCCUAUUAGUCAAGCCCAUGGAUUUGAGACUGAGCUCCCAGCUCCUGGGCCGCAGCACCAGGUUAAAGCUUUCUUCCUUGGCAGUACUUGUCACCUCAGUGACUGGCUUUUUCUCCGAUGAGCAGGAGGACCUGGACGAAACCCCUAGUGUUUGGUCAAGGAACUUGAUGCUCCCUAAAUCCAAAUAUUACGGUUAAAAGAAGAGAGAGGAAAUGUGUGCAGAGAAAGUGUAUUUUACAAAUGAAUUAAAGGUGGAUUCUGAGAUACAGGUUUAUAGAUUUACCUAGAGUUUUGAGUUCAGGAAGCCAUCAUUCUUUAGAGGGCAAUGACCAAACAGUACCAGCAGAAAUUGAAGUACCAGCAGAAGGCUAAGAAGGGAUCAUGGCACAAGCUGCAGUUUCCACCCUGCCCAUUGAAGAUGAGGAGUCCAUGGAAGAUGAGGAGUCCGUUGAAGAUGAGUCUGUUGAAGAUGAGUCCGCAGAGAACAGGAUGGUGGUGACAUUGCUCAUAUCAGCUCUUGAGUCCAUGGAUCAUGGCACAAGUUGCAGUUUCCACCCUGCCCAUUGAAGAUGAGGAGUUUGUUGAAGAUGAGGAGUCCUUGGAGAGCAGGAUGGUGGUGACAUUCCUAAUGUCAGUUCUCGAGUCCACGGUCAGACCUUCUGUUCUCACAUUCUGUAGUUUGGUAGGACUGGGCAGUAGAUAAGGUUGAUUUAUUUUUGUAGAACUUACAAUUUUAUGAUUUUCAGUUGUAAUGAGUAGACCUUUUUCGUGAAUAGUAGUUAUGGUUAAACACCUCUAACCAAAUGUGCAUGUGGAGUUUCUACACUGAUUUUCAGACAAUCUGGAUCCCAACUGGGUAUCCCACAAUUCCAUCCUGACACUCCCUGGAGUUAGUGCAGACCCCGCAGGAUGGGGGCUCAGUCCCAGGAGUCUACCCUCACUCCACAUGCCAAUUGCAAGUCUUGGGUUGUCACAUGUAGUUUUGACCGACCAGUUAGAAAACAGGGUUUCAUGACCCCGUUGCUGGGUGGAAUCAUUUGCUCGGACAGCUUGCAGAACUCAGAAAAACAGGUUUUUUUUUUUUUUUUUUUCUGAGAUACAGGGUCUCAGUCUGUUGCCAGACUGGAAUGC